GGUUGCAAUGCUGUUUUGUCUCUUGAAUCCCGCUGCCACAUACGAAUCUGCAUAUAGCGGACAACAGUACUUGUGUAAUCAACUGUUCUCCUUUGGGUAAGCUUUCUCAUCCUUUUUGCACCAAAAUUGUCACCAUGAGCGUCGUAAGGAGGGAGAGGAGGCCCUAAGGCUGAGGAGGGGUGAUGAUAAUCCGCGGGAUUGAGAGUAGUUGAAGAGGCCGANAGCUGUCUCAUCAUCGGCGGAGGCGGCGGUGGACCCCUGAGGAAGUCCCCGCCCGGCUGCUGGUGUUGCUGCUGAGGAUCACCGUACAUCAUUUUUAUCACAGAAUCUUAAAAAUCCUAACCCUCAAAUCCAGAGAAAUUUAAAGGGGAAAAAAAAGUCAAUAAUGUUAAGGCAGAUUUAGUUGGUGGAUGAAAAACC
rnacentral:misc_RNA from 1 species